AUUCUAUACUGCAAAAUCUAAGUUAAGGACCUUGUGAUGGUUAAGUCUAUAUGUCAACUUGACUGCGCCCCAUAUUCCUUUAACAUUAUUCUGGAAGUCGCGUGAAUAAAUGUCCAUGGGUCAAGUGAGAAAAGAUGGACCCCUGGAGUACCAAGACACCCAACCACUUUCCAUGAAGGAGAAGAGGUCUUGAACCACAAAGGGGCAUGGCAGACUGGUCUGGAGGGCACAGCAGGAGAAGGAGGAUGCUUUGGCUUUUCAACCUUGUCUUCAGGAUGUUCUACUUCCCUCAAAAGUCCUACCCUCAAACAGCAAACCUCCAGCAGGAGCAGGCAGAGGCAUCCCCACUGUCCAGUUUCACAGCAAUGAUCAGGAGAACUUCUGGGGUCAACUUCUAACUUCUAUUCAGCAAUUUCAAAGACCGGCCAGAUAAGAGAACUUUAUUAACUCCUUUAUCAACUGUCAGCUUCCUUUCAAAUUACUCCUAGGCAAAAAGUUUUGUUGCUAUAAUUACUGUUGUUAUUCUGGGGGGGGGGUGGGGAGGAGGGAGAUGGAUUUUAUUUAUUUUAAAUGUUUCGUAGUAUUUUAAAAAGACAAGAUGUGGUUGGAAAAGAAAACUUAAAAGGUAUACAGAACAAAGUGUAUCUCCCAGUAGUUCUCCAUUUGCCCAGUUCCCAGCUGCAGCCAUAAGAAACCACUGUUAUUAGUCAUUUGUGAUUCUUUCUGAAAUGUCUUUUAUAUACACAAGCAAAUAUA